GUGCCAGCAGCCGCGGUAAUACGUAGGUGGCAAGCGUUGUCCGGAAUUAUUGGGCGUAAAGGGCGUGUAGGUGGGAUCUUAAGUCAUGUGUCUAAGUGCGGGGCUCAACCUCGUAUGGGCGCAAGAAACUGGGAUUCUUGAGUGCAGGAGAGGAAAGUGGAAUUCCCAGUGUAGCGGUGAAAUGCGUAGAUAUUGGGAGGAACACCAGUGGCGAAGGCGACUUUCUGGACUGUGUCUGACACUGAGGCGCGAAAGCUAGGGGAGCGAACGGGAUUAGAAACCCCCGUAGUCC
rnacentral:rRNA from 1 species